rnacentral:rRNA from 1 species
UACGUAGGGUGCAAGCGUUGUCCGGAAUUAUUGGGCGUAAAGAGCUCGUAGGCGGUCUGUCGCGUCGGCUGUGAAAACCCGGGGCUCAACCCCGGGCCUGCAGUCGAUACGGGCAGACUAGAGUGCGGUAGGGGAGACUGGAAUUCCUGGUGUAGCGGUGAAAUGCGCAGAUAUCAGGAGGAACACCGGUGGCGAAGGCGGGUCUCUGGGCCGUAACUGACGCUGAGACGCGAAAGCGUGGGGAGCGAACAGG